rnacentral:rRNA from 1 species
CCUACGGGUGGCAGCAGUGGGGAUAUUGCACAAUGGGGGAAACCCUGAUGCAGCGAUGCCGCGUGAAUGAAGACGGCCUUCGGGUUGUAAAGUUCUGUCGCAGGGGACGGAAAUGACGGUAACCUGCAAGAAAGCUCCGGCUAACUACGUGGCAGCCGCCGCGGUAAUACGGAGGGAGCAAGCGUUUUCCGGAAUUACUGGGUGUAAAGGGGGCGUAGGCGGGAGGAUAAGUUGAAUGUGAAAUCUUUGGGCUCAACCCAUAGCUGCGUUCAAAACUGUUCUUCUUGAGUGUAGUAGAGGCAGGCGGAAUUCCUAGUGUAGCGGUGAAAUGCGUAGAUAUUAGGAGGAACACCGGUGGCGAAGGCGGCCUGCCGGACUGUGACUGACGUUGAGGCCCGAAGGCGUGGGGAGCAAACAGGAUUAGAUACCCGGGUAGUC